rnacentral:rRNA from 1 species
UACGUAGGGCGCAAGCGUUGUCCGGAAUUAUUGGGCGUAAAGAGCUCGUAGGCGGUUUGUCGCGUCUGGUGUGAAAACUCGAGGCUCAACCUCGAGCUUGCAUCGGGUACGGGCAGACUAGAGUGCGGUAGGGGAGACUGGAAUUCCUGGUGUAGCGGUGAAAUGCGCAGAUAUCAGGAGGAACACCGGUGGCGAAGGCGGGUCUCUGGGCCGUAACUGACGCUGGAGGAGCGAAAGCAUGGGGAGCGAACAGG